rnacentral:misc_RNA from 1 species
GAAUUGCGAAAAGUAAUGUGAAUUGCAGAAUUUCGUGAAUCAUCGAAUCUUUGAACGCAUAUUGCACUUUCUGGUCCUCCAGAAAGUAUGCCUGUUUGAGUAUCAUAUAACCCCUCACUCCCUUCACGGGCGUUUACUCGCUUUGUGGUGGGCGGUGGAGCUGAGCGUCUGGCGCGUCCUCUCUUCGUCAAGCAGUUUGCUUGAGCCGGUGAGAGGAAUCAUGCCUCGGUCGCUUGAAAUGCAGCGUGGCUGUGUUUGACCCACAUUCCAUUGGCGUAUUAGUUCUCGUCAGAGAUUCCUUACGCACCCACAGUGUGAAUCAUGGCGGUCUGCAGCUGCGACCUAACAACCGCAGUGUGCUUACAGUUGUAAGCGUGCUCGAAUUUUUGAUCUCAAAUCA